rnacentral:rRNA from 1 species
CACAUGCAAGUCGAGGGGUAACAGGAGAUAGCUUGCUAUUUUGCUGACGACCGGCGCACGGGUGCGUAACGCGUAUAGAACCUACCUUUUACAGGGGAAUAGCCCAGAGAAAUUUGGAUUAAUGCCCCAUAGUAUUAUAGAAUGGCAUCAUUUAAUAAUUAAACAUUUAUGGGUAAAAGAUGGCUAUGCGUUCUAUUAGCUAGAUGGUAAGGUAACGGCUUACCAUGGCAACGAUAGAUAGGGGUCCUGAGAGGGAGAUCCCCCACACUGGUACUGAGACACGGACCAGACUCCUACGGGAGGCAGCAGUGAGGAAUAUUGGACAAUGGAGGCAACUCUGAUCCAGCCAUGCCGCGUGCAGGAAGACGGUCCUAUGGAUUGUAAACUGCUUUUAUACAGGAAGAAACCUCUCCACGUGUGGAGAGCUGACGGUACUGUAAGAAUAAGCACCGGCUAACUCCGUGCCAGCAGCCGCGGUAAUACGGAGGGUGCAAGCGUUAUCCGGAAUCAUUGGGUUUAAAGGGUCCGUAGGCGGACUAAUAAGUCAGGGGUGAAAUCCAACAGCUUAACUGUUGAACUGCCUUUG